rnacentral:rRNA from 3 species
UGGUCAAGCUACUAAGAGUUUAUGAUGAAUGACUUGGUAGACUCAGGCGAUGAAGGACGUGGUAAGCAGCGAAAUGCUUCGGGGAGUCGCAAACAGGCUUUGAUCCGAAGAUAUCCGAAUGGGAUAACCCAUCCAGAGUUAAACCUGGAUAUGCCAUACUGAAUACAUAGGUAUGGUAAGCGAACGAGGUGAACUGAAACAUCUAAGUAACCUCAGGAAAAGAAAACGAAAGUGAUUCCCAGAGUAGCGGCGAGCGAAAAGGGAAGAGGCUAAACCUUUACAUUUAUGUGAAGGGGUUGAGGGACCUCAAUGUGGGACUGGCGAUAAUAAUAGAAAUGUCUGGGAAGGCAUACCAAAGAAGGUGAAAGUCCUGUAUGUGACAUUAUUAAUAGCUCUAGAGGUAUCCCAAGUACUACGGGGCACGGGGAAUCCUGUAGGAAUCCAGCCCGACCAUGGGCUAAGCCUAAAUACUCGAGUCUGACCGAAAGUGCACUAGUACCGUGAGGGAAAGUUGAAAAGAACCCCGGAAGGGGAGUGAAAUAGAAUCUGAAAUCAUAAACUUACAAGCGGUCGAAGCCCUAUGCAUGUCUUCGGGCAUGAAUGGGUGACGGCGUACCUAUAGCAUAAUGGACCAACAAGUUAAUGUGUGUUGCAAGCUUAAGAUCUAAUGGAUCGUAGGCGUAGCGAAAGCGAGUGUUAACUGCGCGAUUAAGUAACACAUAUUAGACGCGAAACCGGGUGAUCUAUCCAUGGCCAGGUUGAAGCUUUGAGAAAUCAAAGUGGAGGACCGAACACAAGUCAGUUGAAAAUGGCUGUGAUGAGCUGUGGAUCGGAGCGAAAGACUAAUCAAACUCGGCAAUAGCUCGUUCUCCUCGAAAUAGUUCUAGGACUAGCCUCGGAUAAAUUAAAUAAUAGGGGUAGAGUUACUGAAUAGGCUAGGGGGCUUACCAGCCUACCAACCCUAACCAAACUCCGAAUACUAUUAUUUGUACUCCGGGAGUCAGACUUUGAGGGCUAAGCUUCAAGGUCGAAAGGGAAACAGCCCAGACCAACGGUUAAGGUCCCAAAUAUACGCUAAGUGGUAAAGGAAGUGAAGUCACACAGACAGCCAGGAUGUUGGCCCAGAGGCAGCCAUCAUUUAAAGAGUGCGUAACAGCUCACUGGUCGAGUGAUUUUGCGCCGAAAAUGAUCGGGGCUCAAGCGUAUAACCGAAACCAUGGCUUACGUGACACUGCGGUGUCAUUUAGGGGUAGAGGAGCGUUGUGUCAAGCGAUGAAGCUAUACCGAAAGGAGUAGUGGAGUAGACACUAGUGAUACUGUUGGUAUAAGUAGCGAAAACUACGGCGAGAAACCGUAGCGCCGAAAAUCGAAGGGUUCCUGGGGAAGGUUAAUCCGCCCAGGGUUAGUCGAUCCUAAGGCGAGGCCGAAAGGCGUAGUCGAUGGAUAUCAGGUUAAUAUUCCUGAACUAAUUAUGAAACGUUAUCAGCUUAUGAUGACGCAGGAGGCUAAGUGAUCGGAGUGUUGGAUGUCUCCGUCUAAACUUGUAGUCCCGCCUUAAAACGGGAUGAGGAGUGAUGGGGAGCCGAAGCUACGGCAGAGGUGAAGUCACUGAUGCCACGCUGUCAAGAAAAUCUCAUAAGUGAGGAUCAUAAUUAUUCGUACCGGAAACCGACACAGGUAGAUACCCAGAAUAUGGGAAGGCGCUCGAGAUAACUCUCCUUAAGGAACUCGGCAAACUGGCCCCGUAACUUCGGGAGAUGGGGUGUCCUCUUAUUGUAGGUGCUUGCCACCGAAGGUAAGAGGAUCACAGUAAAGAAGCCCGGCCGACUGUUUAGUAAAAACACAGCACUCUGCUAAGUCGCAAGACAAUGUAUAGGGUGUGACACCUGCCCGGUGCUGGAAGGUUAAGGGGAUCGGUCAUCCACUUGAUGGAGAAGCUGAGAACUGAAGCCCCAGUAAACGGCGGCCGUAACUAUAACGGUCCUAAGGUAGCGAAAUUCCUUGUGGGGUAAGUUCCCACGCGCACGAAUGGUGUAACGAGUUGGGCGCUGUCUCAAGGAGAGACUCGGCGAAAUUGUAGUGGCGGUGAAGAUGCCGCCUACCCGCACCUAGACGAAAAGACCCCGGAACCUUUACUGUAGUCUGGUAUUGAAUUUGGGUGCUGUUUGUGUAGGAUAGGUGGGAGGCUGUGAAGGUAUCGCGCUAGCGACGCCAGAGCCAUCGGUGAAAUACCACCCUUAUAGUUCUUAGAUUCUAAUUCCGAAUCCCUUGAAUCAGGGCGCAAGACAGUGCCAGAUGGGCAGUUUGCUUGGGGCGAGUCCCUUCUAAAAUGUAACGAAGGGGUCCAAAGGUCUCCUCAAGACGGUUGGCAAUCGUCUGUAGAGUGCAUAGGCAUAAGGAGGCUUAACUGCGAGUCCGACAGGACGAGCAGAUACGAAAGUAGGGCUAAGUGAUCCGGCGGUAGAUUAUGGGAUUGCCGUCGCUCAACGGACAAUAGGUACUCCGGGGAUAACAGGCUGAUAGCGUUCGAGAGUUCAUAUCGACAACGCUGUUUGGCACCUCGAUGUCGGCUCACCUUAUCCUGGGGCUGAACAAGGUCCCAAGGGUCCGGCUGUUCGCCGGUUAAAAAGGUACGCGAGCUGGGUUUAGAACGUCGUGAGACAGUUCGGUCUCUAUCUGGUGUGGGCGUUCGAUACUUGAAGGGGAAAACUUCCUAGUACGAGAGGACCGGGAGUUACAGACCACUGGUGUUCCAGUUAUCCUGCCAAGGGUAAUGGCUGGGUAGCCACGUCUGGAAGGGAUAAGCGCUGAAAGCAUAUAAGUGCGAAGCCAACCUCAAGAUAAGGUAUCGUUUUCACUUCGGUGAAUAAAGGCUCCUGGUAGACUACCAGGUUGAUAGGUUGCAUGUGUAAGGGCAGUAAUGCCUUCAGCUAAGCAAUACUAAUUGGCCGAAUGCUUGACCUUAUU